rnacentral:rRNA from 1 species
UAAUACAGAGGGUCCGAGCGUUAAUCGGAAUCACUGGGCUUAAAGAGUGCGUAGGCUGACGUGUAGGUACCUUGUGAAAUCCCCCGGCUCAACCGGGGAAUUGCUCGGUAAACCAUACGUCUUGAGGCAGGUAGGGGUGGUCGGAACGCUAGGUGGAGCGGUGGAAUGCGUAGAUAUCUAGCAGAACGCCAAUGGAGAAGUCAGGCCACUGGGCCUGUCCUGACGCUGAGGCACGAAAGCGUGGGUAGCGAACGGGAUUAGAUACCCCGGUAGUCCACGCCGUAAACGAUGCGAACUAGAUCGAGGAGGUUUGACGCCCUCUUGGUCGAAGCAAAAGUGUUAAGUUCGCCGCCUGGGGAGUACGGUCGCAAGGCUA